UUCUAGCCCUGAUAGUAGUGGAUAUCCUUUUUUGUCGUCUUCAGACGGCUAAAAAAGAUAGUAACGGAUAGCAGGUACACUU
rnacentral:sRNA from 1 species